GCCGACCUUGAACUCUUCAGUCUUCACUCUCGUUCUACACUUCUACUCUCAGUCUCGUUCCAUCGCAACUUCCUGUUCAAUCAUUGGCCUUACCUGCUCAAUCGAUGGUUCAAUCUACAAAGACAACUCUAUAUUUAUCUUUAAGGCUUGCUCGAUUCUUCACAUCUCUUCCUUCUGACACAUCCAUGGCAUCCGACAAGUCAACACCGCCUCUUACUGUCGAUUCCCUCAACCCAAAGGUCAUUUCAUUGCUUCUCAUUUAUGUUUUUCACUUUGUUCAUCGCUUGAUCUUGUUUGUUUUAGUUCGAUUACUUGAGCUUUAUGCAAUUUAAAUCUUAACGCCUUAAUCGGAGUUCGGUACAAGAUAACUGUUUAAUUUUUAUUUUUGAUUUCGAAGAUUAAUCCAGGGGUUUUAAGUUCAAGUCGAUUUAGUCCCUUUUACUGUUUCUAUAACACCAAAAAGGAAAGGUUAGCUAGAAUGUCCUUUGUACUAUUUUUUCCCCUUUAUUUCCAGGUCUUGAAAUGUGAGUAUGCUGUAUGUGGUGAAAUUGUCUCUCUGGCUCAGGUAAUGUAAUGAACUGGAUUCACUAAAAACCGUAUUAAAUAAGCAUGUCAGGGAUGUAUAUAUCGGGGAAAUCAUUAAUAAUGAGUAUAUUUAUAGAAAAAUUUCCAUCUUUUUAAUCAAUAUAUGCAUUCAAGUAUACUAAUUUGCAUAUAUUAAACUUACAGUGCUGAUUCCAUAGAAUGAGCAUGGCGGUUUCUUGAUUAAAUUCUUGGUAGAGCUAAUGGUUCAUAUAGUCACAGGGGUUCCUUAUUAUCUUGAUGAAGCAACAUGGUGGGGAGUUGAGGUCUUUGAACUGAAGAAGCAACUGGAAACUGCUAGACAAAAGGGUAUUACUGUUAGAGCCCUUUUUUUCAUUAAUCCAGGAAACCCAAAUGCCCAGGUUCUUACUGAAGAGAACCAACGAGACAUUGUUGAGUUCUGCAAGAAAGAAGGUCGUGUUCUUCUAGUUGAUGAGAUAAAUAAUGUUACAAGAAUCCCCCCGGACUUUUAUUGGAAUUUUAGUAAAAGCAUGAUUAAGUAGGGUGACAUUCACCAUUCAUGUACAUUUUGCAGGUUUAUCAGGAAAACAUUUAUGUCCCUGAAAAGCAGUUUCGCUCUUUUAAGAAAGUUGCUUGUUCAAUGGGAUAUGGUGACAAGGAUAUUCCCUGGGUUUAUUUUCAGUCAAUGUCUAAAGGUAUUAUCUUUUAGUGAAUAUGAAAUAGUAUUGAUGAUAUGAAGAGAGGGGUGCAAAGACAUUGGAAGAUGCACUGAAUGGCUUAGAGGGUGUUACCUGCAACAAAGCAGAAGGUGCAAUGUAUCUUUUCCCACAAGUUAAGAUGCCAAAUAAGACCAUAAAAGAGGUAGGGAAAGCUAAAAAAGCUCUGGAUGCAUAUUAUGCAGUUCGCCUUAAGGGUUUUGUAAUUGGCAUCAGGGUAUGAAGGGAUUGCGCGACACCAUUGCUGCUGUUUUGUGUUGUUUUGCUGUUUUGAGACUAUUUAUGUUUUGUUGUUGUGUAGUUUGUUGUUGACUUGUUAAAUUCCACUUGUUGCUGUUUUAAGAUCAAGUUUUUUUUAA